GGAGCAUUUAUUUGCCAGUUAUGUUUGUGCCAUUUCAAGACAUCUGUGUGUUCUGUGUCGCUGGCAGUUCUGCAUGCAUGGUGCUUCCGCGCCACGGACUCUAAGCGCUAGAGGGCAGGUUUCAUUCAAAAGAAUCUUGUGCUACCCCUUAAGAAAGCAUCGUUUCUGUUUUCAAAAAAGGAAAAGAUAAUUUUUUCUCUGGUUAGAAGUGGCAACUUUUCUGAUGUUUAGAACAAACUUUCCUUGCCUCAAAGGAUGUCUGGGCUCCUGUAUCCCAUCUGACCUAACGGCCACCACUCACGGGAAGCCUUCGCGAGGGUAACUGACAGCCCGUCCCCAGACGCGGGCUGAGACGGUCCUGCCUUGGGGAAAGGAUUCGUUUUGAAGAAUACAGAGGAAACUUCCCCAGUGUACAUGAAAACAUCCACGAAGGAGUUUAACCGGCGUGAACAGGAGAAAUGGAGGUGCCAGUUGGUGAGGUCGUGCU